CCUACGGGAGGCAGCAGUGGGGAAUAUUGGGCAAUGGGCGCAAGCCUGACCCAGCAAUGCCGCGUGAAGGAAGAAGGCUUUCGGGUUGUAAACUUCUUUGACAGGGGAAGAGCAGAAGACGGUACCCUGAAAACAAGCCACGGCUAACUACGUGCCAGCAGCCGCGGUAAUACGUAGGUGGCACGCGUUGUCCGGAUUUACUGGGUGUAAAGGGCGUGUAGCCGGGAAGGCAAGUCAGAUGUGAAAUCUGGAGGCUCAACCUCCAAAUUGCAUAUGAAACUGUUUUUCUUGAGUACUGGAGGGGCAGACGGAAUUCCUUGUGUAGCGGUGAAAUGCGUAGAUAUAAGGAGGAACACCAGUGGCGAAGGCGGUCUGCUGGACAGCAACUGACGGUGAGGCGCGAAAGCGUGGGGAGCAAACAGGAUUAGAUACCCCUGUAGUC
rnacentral:rRNA from 1 species